rnacentral:misc_RNA from 1 species
UCUCCGUAGGUGAACCUGCGGAGGGAUCAUUACAGGGUUCAUGCCCUACCGGGUAGAUCUCCCACCCUAUGUUAUUAUUACUUUGUUGCCUUGGCGGGCCGUUAGGCUCCGGCCCGACUACCGGCCCCGGCUGGUAAGCGCCCGCCAGAGGACCCAAAACCCUGAAUAUUAGUGUCGUCUGAGUACUAUAUAAUAGUUAAAACUUUCAACAACGGAUCUCUUGGUUCUG